rnacentral:lncRNA from 1 species
CUAAAGAGUUCUGCUAUAUACACAACAGCGGGCGCUCACUUCUCCAGUUCUUUGUAAUUCAUAUACAGAAAAUAGAGCGGGGCUGUAAGAUCACGGGUUUAACAGAAAUCAAACUUCGAACUGAUUUCUAAAGCAGCACAAAUAGACUUUCCCCACAUUAUGAAAAAUAUACAAUUUUAUCACUUUACAGUCAUGCACUUCGUUUGAAAAAGAUCAGUAGUAACUCUUCCCCCGCAGUCCCUAAAAAGAUAAAAGGUCACUUUAACACUGGUUUCUUUCAAUAGCUAAUAUUUGGAUAAAAAGGUGCCGUUCUCAAACAAGGUUGUGCUCAGCACUCACACCAGGGUGCACAGAGCCGACUGCAGCCGGUUACACCGCAGCAUUCCAGAACCUUCUACGGAAACGCCGUUCGCUUCAGUCGCUCCGACAACAGUCGAGGAUGUCAUCUCACCUCCCUUAAGCAAGCAAAGUCCAUUUGCAAUCGCUGGAUGCCCUCUUUGCUGGAGGAUCGCAGAACGUAGGGCUUCGGGCUUGAGGAAAUUACAGUUGGUCUGCUGCCCAACAACUAUCAGUUCAGUGGCCACGAUGUCAAGGGAUGCUCCCCUCCAACUGGAUGGACAGAACCUGAAAACUCAGCACGUGGAUCAGUGAAUUUAAAUACGCAGAUAAUUCGGCUUUUCAGACAACUGCAAGUUUAGCAUCCAAGUCAUCCCGUAAAGUCAUCAAGCGUUGUUUUAAUCCAGGAAGACACUUUACAGCUCAAAUGGAGCAGCAUGCCUAAAUAUCCUCAGACAACACCCUACUGUCCAGCACUCGUGGUUCUGCAAAACCAACGCACGUCUUGCAUUGAAAAUCUAUGCUGCCAAACAGAAUCAUCAAAAAAAAAAAAACAACGGUCACCAAGAGUAGCAAAGGCUGCUCAGCUGGGCUGCUGGCCCCAAUGGGAAGUGGCUCUUUUGGCUUUGCAGCACUACUGGGCCUCAAUCACAGCACUAUUCCCUCGGAGCGUGGGCCUCCCGGUAUUGUAUCGGCGCUCCAUAUUCAUAAGGUAGCACAAAUCAAGGACUCAGCCGGUAGAGCAAAGUAAUUUAAGAGGAAGAACCUGUCUCACUAAUCCAUCUGCAGCUGUGACUGAGUCCUGGAGAGGAUGAGAUGAAAGUCACGGUGUCUGAGGUCAUUACAUCUUUGAGCUAAUCGCUAAAAUGGAUGCAACUUUUGAAGAGAAGGCUUUGAUCAUUACAUGUAUCCGUCUUUAACGUUAUUUUACACCAAUGAGUUUUAAGAAGCAAGUUCAGCUUCCUCGCACUAUUGGGAAACAUGGGAAAGAACAAUGAAUGAAAUACAAGGACAGCUGCUGUGAUAGCUUGGAAGAGAAGGGGUGAGGUUCAAAUUCUUACAGCUAUAUAAGCGGUACUCCACAAUAGCAAAAUAUAAGUCCCGUUGUUUUAUAUACAACCACUUGAAGAAGAAAAAACCCACUUGUUUUGGUUCCUUAACAAAAAUAAAGCUUCAGUGGCAGGCAGUAG